rnacentral:tRNA from 2 species
UAGAGAGUAGUAAAAUGGAAUUACAGGGAGUUUUGAUCUCUCAGCUAUAGGUUCAAUUCCUAUCUUUCUAU